UCUCUGUGAUGAUGAAAAACGAUGACGAGUCUGAUCUCUAAUCCAUUCACCCUUGAUGACAAAACGAGGCAUUUGUCUGAGAGAA
rfam:Cucumis melo, WGS project CAJI01000000 data, contig: 01708